UACGUAGGGUGCAAGCGUUGUCCGGAAUUAUUGGGCGUAAGGAGCUCGUAGGCGGUCUGUCGCGUCUGCUGUGAAAACUCAGGGCUUAACCCUGAGCUUGCAGUGGGUACGGGCAGACUAGAGUGCGGUAGGGGAGACUGGAAUUCCUGGUGUAGCGGUGAAAUGCGCAGAUAUCAGGAGGAACACCGAUGGCGAAGGCAGGUCUCUGGGCAUUAACUGACGCUGAGGAGCGAAAGCAUGGGGAGCGAACAGG
rnacentral:rRNA from 1 species